rnacentral:rRNA from 1 species
UGACGCAAGUUGCGCCCGAAGCCAUUAGGCCGAGGGCACGUCUGCCUGGGCGUCUCGC